AGUGAAUAGAUACCCGGGUAGUCCAUGCCGUAAACGUUGUGCGCUAGGUGUAGGAGGUAUCGACCCCUUCUGUGCCGCAGCUAACGCAUUAAGCGCACCGCCUGGGGAGUACGGUCGCAAGACUGAAACUCAAAGGAAUUGACGGGGGCCCGGCACAAGCGGUGGAGCAUGUGGUUUAAUUCGAGGCAACGCGAAGAACCUUACCCAGGCUUGACAUCCCAGGACACCCUAUGAAAGUAGGUCUUCCCUUCGGGGACCUGGAGACAGGUGUUGCAUGGCUGUCGUCAGCUCGUGUCGUGAGAUGUUGGGUUAAGUCCCGCAACGAGCGCAACCCUUGUCCUUAGUUACCAGCGGGUUAUGCCGGGCACUCUGAGGAGACUGCCGAUGAUAAGUCGGAGGAAGGUGGGGACGACGUCAAGUCAUCACGGCCCUUACGCCUGGGGCUACACACGUGCUACAAUGGUCGGUACAGAGGGACGCAAGACCGCGAGGUGGAGCCAAUCCCAAAAGCCGGCUCAGUUCGGAUUGCAGUCUGCAACUC
rnacentral:rRNA from 1 species